rnacentral:rRNA from 1 species
UCCUACGGGAGGCAGCAGUUGGGAAUCUUGGACGAUGGGGGAAACCCUGAUCCAGCCAUGCCGCGUGAGUGAUGAAGGCCUUCGGGUUGUAAAACUCUUUCGACGGGGACGAUAAUGACGGUACCCGUAGAAGAAGCUCCGGCUAACUUCGUGCCAGCAGCCGCGGUAAUAA